ACUCGGAAAGCAACGCCUGCUUUCUGCUUCAUUGUUCGAGCUUUGGUCAACUUUGGUUGAAAGUGAAUGGAAAAAUAGGAAAAAUCUCAAAUUCUGAGAAAUUGUUUGGAAAAAUGAUUGUCGAAGGAUGCCUCCACCGGACAAAAAUGUCUCCAAACCACAUGAGACGGAGACAAAUGAAAGUCUGCAUCGAGUCUGCUGGUUUUGAUUCCUGUGCAGAACGGUUCCAUUCCGGAUAGAUGACCAAAAGGACGUUGGUUCCAGGAUGGAUUAUGCUACCACUAAAAGAAACAUGCAGCUUUGACGGGAUGGUUUCAGUUAUGCCGACAAAGAGUGUUUAAAAUUGCCUGGCCAAAUAUAAGCUUGUUUUUGAAUGUUU